GUAGGUGAACCUGCGGAAGGAUCAUUAUAGCAAUGAAUUUGGGUGUUAAUUCUAAAAAAUUUUACCCGGCUUACUUCGCAUGACCUUUGAGGAUGAGGGUGUUGGGCGCGCGGCAUAGCCGCGACUCCCCCUCGUAAUUCCUUAUUGGACAGCUCUAAGCAAAAAUCUACCUCACACAUUUUAGUCUGAAUCUUUUUGUUGUUCAACUGAACUCCAAUAUGAAUUUUUUAAACAACUUUUAACAACGGAU
rnacentral:misc_RNA from 1 species